AUUGAACGCUGGCGGCAGGCCUAACACAUGCAAGUCGAGCGGAUGAAGGGAGCUUGCUCCUGGAUUCAGCGGCGGACGGGUGAGUAAUGCCUAGGAAUCUGCCUGGUAGUGGGGGAUAACGUCCGGAAACGGGCGCUAAUACCGCAUACGUCCUGAGGGAGAUAGUGGGGGAUCUUCGGACCUCACGCUCUCAGAUGAGCCUAGGUCGGAUUAGCUAGUUGGUGGGGUAAAGGCCUACCAAGGCGACGAUCCGUAACUGGUCUGAGAGGAUGAUCAGUCACACGGGAACUGAGACACGGUCCAGACUCCUACGGGAGGCAGCAGUGGGGAAUAUUGGACAAUGGGCGAAAGCCUGAUCCAGCCAUGCCGCGUGUGUGAAGAAGGUCUUCGGAUUGUAAAGCACUUUAAGUUGGGAGGAAGGGAAGUAAGUUAAUACCUUGCUGUUUUGACGUUACCAACAGAAUAAGCACCGGCUAACUUCGUG
rnacentral:rRNA from 1 species